rnacentral:lncRNA from 1 species
AGGAGAUCAGAAGGGAGCACACAUCUCUGGAGGUGGAGACUUUGUGAAUUAGGAAGGAUGGGGUAGUGGGCAGAGACCUCAUAUGUUUCUCCGAAGCAGAGCACCCUGCCUGUCCCUGUCCCUGUCCUAAGACAGUACUCACGACCUGUCAGCUAUUAGCCUCAGUGCAUGCAGUUUAUAACCGAGAGAGAAAUUUAACAGAAAAGGUACCUAAGAAGAUAAUUCACCCAGAUGAUGUUCUUCUCAUUCGCAUUCUUCGCAUUAAUAGCGAUGGUGGCGCUAGACUGUAUCCA